AGUGGAAUUGCUGGGUCAUAUGAUUAAGUGUACAUUUAACUUUAUAAGAAAUUAUCAAACUGUUUUCCAAAGUGGUUGUACCAUUUUGUAUUCCUACCAGCGAU
rnacentral:pre_miRNA from 1 species